rnacentral:rRNA from 1 species
UACGGAGGGUGCAAGCGUUAUCCGGAUUCACUGGGUUUAAAGGGUGCGUAGGUGGGUUGGUAAGUCAGUGGUGAAAUCUCCAGGCUUAACUUGGAAACUGCCAUUGAUACUAUCAAUCUUGAAUACCGUGGAGGUCAGCGGAAUAUGUCAUGUAGCGGUGAAAUGCUUAGAUAUGACAUAGAACACCAAUUGCGAAGGCAGCUCACUACACGAAUAUUGACACUGGGGCACGAAAGCGUGGGGAUCAAACAGG